GCCCGGCUAGCUCAGUCAGUAGAGCAUGAGACUCUUAAUCUCAGGGUCAUGGGUCCGUGCCCCACGUUGGGCA
rfam:Tupaia chinensis contig74035, whole genome shotgun sequence.